rnacentral:rRNA from 1 species
CGUAGGGUGCGAGCGUUAAUCGGAAUUACUGGGCGUAAAGUGUGCGCAGGUGGCCGCGCAUGUCGAGUGUGAAAUCCCCGGGCUUAACUUGGGAAUUGCGCUCGAAACUACGUGGCUGGAGUGUGGCAGAGGAAGGUGGAAUUCCAGGUGUAGCGGUGAAAUGCGUAGAGAUCUGGAGGAACACCGAUGGCGAAGGCAGCCUUCUGGGCCAACACUGACACUCAUGCACGAAAGCGUGGGGAGCAAACAGGAUUAGGUACCCUGGUAGUCCACGCCCUAAACGAUGAUGACUAGUUGUUGGAGGAGUUAAAUCCUUUAGUAACGCAGCUAACGCGUGAAGUCAUCCGCCUGGGGAGUACGGUCGCAAGAUUA